rnacentral:lncRNA from 1 species
UUCGCGCUAGGAGCUGCUAGCUCGUGACAGUGGUGGUGCUUGCCGCAGCUUUCAUGCGCAUGCGGUGGAAAUCGAGAGAGGUCGCGAACAGCCCUAGAAAUGCUCUUCUUUGCCGUCAGGUGCUCGUAGCUAAGCAGUGGGCGUAAAAGCUGUUUGUGAGAUGUCUUUGCAUCUGUUGAAUGUGCAAUAUGAGCACAGCGCGAAGCUUUUAUCCAGUGGCGGGGACAGGGUCUCGGGCGCCCAUGCAGGCGACACGCGCCCAAUCCCGAGCCUCCCACUCCUCGCCUGUACCUUGUCCCUGGACCCGCGCCAUCCGUGUCCCGCUGUUCAAUUCCCGCGUUUCAUACCAGCUCCCCUCCCCUGCGUAGGCCGGUAACCCCUGAUCCCGCCGCUGCCGGGGAUGCAGCCGUGCAGGAUGAGGUUGACGGCUGGGGAAGUUGUUGUGGGGAAGUUGGUGUAGGUUGGCGGUGAUCCAGCGGGGUGGGUGCCGAUGUGCUAUAGCGGGCGCGAGGCUGUACACGUCAGGAUCUGGCGAGUGUACUGCUCAAGCUGGCUUUGUGAUGGCCCCCAAGCGUAGGUGAGGUAGGCGCACGGCGGUGACAAGGCAUGCGGCCAGUGGAACUGCCUUACAGUUACAGCCCGCCCAAGCGCGGUUGUUGCCCUGCCAUGAUUUCCGUGCAGUCUGCUAGCUUCGGCAGGGACGGUGCCCAUCAGUUCCCGAUGUUGACAAACCAUGCAUCCAGCCGCCCACACGUGCUCUUCGUUCGUCACAUACCGUACUCGAACUCCAAUGUCCACAGAGCGUGUGCGCGAAAUCCACACGCCACACACGCAAGUGACAGCCGCCCGUCCUUGCACAGCAAGCAUCUCCGCGCACGGUCGCACGCUUCUCUAGCCCCAACGAACCGCAAACCACAAAUCAAGUCACACCCACCUCAGCAUUAGAAGUGCACACCCGCCUAUCGAAUGUCGGAUGAUGAUAAGGCAACAAGUAGGUCUAGAGAAAUGAAAGCUAGUAGGUCUACUGCACCCAUGCAUGGAUGGAAAGAAUCAAUGGACCUGUGGAUAUAGGAUCCGGCCUUCUCAAGGGUCCUCGCGCAUUUACUAAAGAGCCAAGGGGUCUAGUAUGUAAGAAUCAAUGCCAGUCUCAAGUCAAGCACACUGCUGCCGCUUCCUGGCAUCUGGAAUGCCGGAAGGGUCGGAGGAACUUGCACCCACAGAACGUACACGUCGUGUCACUGACAGCCCACUCGAGUCUUGUAAACAGUAAGAAUAGUGCCCGCUCCUGCAGCGAGCCAAGAUACGGUAACCUCGAUACUUCUUUGUGUCUCACCGCGGUACGCGCACAGACAUUAAUCUGCGGGCUCCCUCUCCGCACUCCUUCUGUCACUCCCGUGCGUCAGGUCGUUUCCGACGUCGCCUCCACUCCAUCUCCUACGUCCCAUGACUCACCUGUAGCCCCAGGCAGCCCUGCGUCCAUUGGCACAGCGCCCCUCGCCACCUGCCACCCUCUCGCUCAGCAAAUGAACGCACGCACGAUAGCAAAACACCAGCAGUCCGUAGUAUGGCCAAGGGGGGCUGCCGGUUCCCCGGUCCCAUACAGUCACACAUACAUCUUAUUAAGAAACAUCAGCAGGGUUUAUUUGGCGAGUCUCAGUAGAGAAAUAGACAUCCCUACAUCACCCAAUGCGCAUGGCAAUAUCGCACUGAGUGCUUGCUUGCGCAAGCAAUCCAGCAUCAAGUGCGGCCUUUGACACUCCCGCUCGCUCACAUACGGUGUAUUAUCAGUACAGCACGGCAACACUCGCGCGAAUCAGUCCUGUCUCCUGCGGUAAACGCCGACUACCGUAGCACGCCCUGCUGUCGUGCUGACAAUGAGAAAUGUGCGGCGGCACAGCCCUGCUGGUUCACUUGAUAGUGAAUGGGCCCGAUCAGUAGCUAGUAGCGGCGAUUAGCCUAGCUGUCUAUACUUGCACGCAUACGCUGCGGGUGUGCCUCACAUACCAUAAUACCCAGUGCUGCUUCUUUCGCAUAUAACACACGCUCAGCAUGCCCUGCUGGCUCACUUCGAUACUGUGCCAUCCACACACGUACGUGUGACGAGCCCCUCUUGCGAACGGCCGCCGGCACCACAGCUGCGGCGGCUGCGGCUGCUGCUGCUCCUGCUGCUGCUACUGCUACUGCUGCAUCUUCAAAUGGCGAGGGCAGCAAGCCGCUGGCUGCAGGGCUCAUGCAGCUGACGGCGUAACACGGAAGCCAAACGAAACGGAGCGGCCCUUGCCGCUACCAGGCCGCCACCGCUGCCGGUGGCGGGAAGCAGCCGCACGCGCGCUCCAACGCGGCAAACUCCUCCAGCUCCCGCUCCUGCUCAGCCCACGCCGCCGCCGCCAGCUCCAUCGCCAGGCGCAGGCGCGAGGGCAUCACAGCUGACUGCCACUCAUCACCCUGCUGCACCGCCGCGAUCGGCGGAACGACACAGCUGCCCAUGCUGCUGCCGGCGGCGGUGCAGGCCUCCUUGUCAGCGCUAUGCUCCUCCACUGCCGCCUCCACCAACUCCACCUGCUGCGGCGUCUCACUGCCUGCCGCCGCCGCCACCCAGACCAGACUGCAGCUGCUGGCGCUGCGGCUGGUGCGGGCGCUGUCCGGCACGGCGCAGCAGCACGAGCUGAGCGGCGAGUCAGGCGCGUCCAGCCGCUCAGUGACGACGGCCACCUCCUGCGCCGCUUCGGCCGCCGCCGGCACGCACUCGCCCUGGGCCUCUGCUUUCCCCAUCGCCGCCAGCUCCGCCGCCAUCCAGGGCGACAGCGAGGCGAGGUAGGCGCCGAAAUCGCCGGCCUCCUCCGCCUCAACGUCAUCCGCCCAGCGGCGGCCGUUGGGGGUGCCGCCGGUGCCGCUGGCAGCUGCCGCCGCCGCCUGCUCCGCCAGGCCCUCCUUCAGCCAAUCUGCGAGCGACCCGAGGUCGAGCUCCUCCUCCGCCUCCUCAUGCGCCUCAACCUCAUCCGCCCAGCUACCGCUCGCGCCACCGCUGCUGCUAAUGCUGGCGCGAGGAGCAAUGCUGCUGCUGCUGCUGCUGCUGCUGCUGCUGCUGCUGCUGCUGCCGUCAGACUCUGACGCUGCCGCGGGCACGGCCGGUGCGGCUUCCGCCUGCUGCUGCUCGGCCGCCGCGAGCUCCGCCAGUCCCUGCUUCACCCAGGGCGUCUGCUCAAAGAGGUCGCUCAGGUCGAGUCCGUCAGCCUCAUCCUCAUCAUCAUCGCCCCAUCGCGGCGUGGUCGAGCUGCGGUCGACGGUGGAGGUGGAGAUGGGGCUUGCAGCGGCGGCGGGCUUGGUCGGGGCGGCGGGCUUGGUCGGAGCCGCGAGCUUGGGCACCUUGGGCAGGCCGGGCGGCUUCUGCGGGCGCCAGUGGUUGUCGUAGGCAUGGCAAAGCUGGCAAGGGGCGCUCCUGCAGCCAGCAGAUAGGCUGGCAUAGCACCAGCGCAUGCAGGACUUGUGAGGAAAGCAGCAGGCGCUGGGGGCGGGCUCCUGCUGCUCCUGCUGGUGGGCGGCGGCGGAGGGCUCGCUCUCAUCAGAGCCGUGGCCUUGGCUGCGGGGCGUGUGGCGCCAGGCGUCCUGUGCAAACGAGAUCGGGGGAAAAGGAUAGAUGGGGGCGGACAAGCCGUGAGUGCACGGGACGAGGACAAGGGUCGGGGCGCAGAGGGCGGGAGAAAGGGCCGGGGGUCGGGGGCUCGGGCCCCGGCAAAAAAGUCAGGCGCACCGGAAAGGCACGCGCUUUCGGUCAAAGCUGUUGACCGACGCAUUUUACGAGACAAUACAUGCAGCAAUAUGCAGCCAGUGUGGCCGCAGCAGCGCAAGAAGGAACGCCGAGGAAGCCGAGCGCACUACUGGCCCGAAAUCUGCAACGCUAUCUAGCCCGCAUCAGAAGCCUAAUGCUUUGCAUGUGGCAUCGGAUACCCAUUGCAGCUGCUCAAGGCUCAAAAUGGCCGUGCCCGAACAUGAAUGGUGCUCACCUGCAUCGGUCGGCUCGGCUCGAAGUCAAGCCCCGGUGCACUUGCGAUUGACCGUGAUGUGGCCAUAGUAGCUCUCGACCGCACCAAGCACUCUUCGCGCGCAGAACUCGAUUCUGCUGCUAGCGCAAUUCUUUCGCUUGACGGAAACUUUUCCUCGCGGUGCCCGGGAGGGAUUCGCGCUAGGAGCUGCUAGCUCGUGACAGUGGUGGUGCUUGCCGCAGCUUUCAUGCGCAUGCGGUGGAAAUCGAGAGAGGUCGCGAACAGCCCUAGAAAUGCUCUUCUUUGCCGUCAGGUGCUCGUAGCUAAGCAGUGGGCGUAAAAGCUGUUUGUGAGAUGUCUUUGCAUCUGUUGAAUGUGCAAUAUGAGCACAGCGCGAAGCUUUUAUCCAGUGGCGGGGACAGGGUCUCGGGCGCCCAUGCAGGCGACACGCGCCCAAUCCCGAGCCUCCCACUCCUCGCCUGUACCUUGUCCCUGGACCCGCGCCAUCCGUGUCCCGCUGUUCAAUUCCCGCGUUUCAUACCAGCUCCCCUCCCCUGCGUAGGCCGGUAACCCCUGAUCCCGCCGCUGCCGGGGAUGCAGCCGUGCAGGAUGAGGUUGACGGCUGGGGAAGUUGGUGUGGGGAAGUUGGUGUAGGUUGGCGGUGAUCCAGCGGGGUGGGUGCCGAUGUGCUAUAGCGGGCGCGAGGCUGUACACGUCAGGAUCUGGCGAGUGUACUGCUCAAGCUGGCUUUGUGAUGGCCCCCAAGCGUAGGUGAGGUAGGCGCACGGCGGUGACAAGGCAUGCGGCCAGUGGAACUGCCUUACAGUUACAGCCCGCCCAAGCGCGGUUGUUGCCCUGCCAUGAUUUCCGUGCAGUCUGCUAGCUUCGGCAGGGACGGUGCCCAUCAGUUCCCGAUGUUGACAAACCAUGCAUCCAGCCGCCCACACGUGCUCUUCGUUCGUCACAUACCGUACUCGAACUCCAAUGUCCACAGAGCGUGUGCGCGAAAUCCACACGCCACACACGCAAGUGACAGCCGCCCGUCCUUGCACAGCAAGCAUCUCCGCGCACGGUCGCACGCUUCUCUAGCCCCAACGAACCGCAAACCACAAAUCAAGUCACACCCACCUCAGCAUUAGAAGUGCACACCCGCCUAUCGAAUGUCGGAUGAUGAUAAGGCAACAAGUAGGUCUACUGCACCCAUGCAUGGAUGGAAAGAAUCAAUGGACCUGUGGAUAUAGGAUCCGGCCUUCUCAAGGGUCCUCGCGCAUUUACUAAAGAGCCAAGGGGUCUAGUAUGUAAGAAUCAAUGCCAGUCUCAAGUCAAGCACACUGCUGCCGCUUCCUGGCAUCUGGAAUGCCGGAAGGGUCGGAGGAACUUGCACCCACAGAACGUACACGUCGUGUCACUGACAGCCCACUCGAGUCUUGUAAACAGUAAGAAUAGUGCCCGCUCCUGCAGCGAGCCAAGAUACGGUAACCUCGAUACUUCUUUGUGUCUCACCGCGGUACGCGCACAGACAUUAAUCUGCGGGCUCCCUCUCCGCACUCCUUCUGUCACUCCCGUGCGUCAGGUCGUUUCCGACGUCGCCUCCACUCCAUCUCCUACGUCCCAUGACUCACCUGUAGCCCCAGGCAGCCCUGCGUCCAUUGGCACAGCGCCCCUCGCCACCUGCCACCCUCUCGCUCAGCAAAUGAACGCACGCACGAUAGCAAAACACCAGCAGUCCGUAGUAUGGCCAAGGGGGGCUGCCGGUUCCCCGGUCCCAUACAGUCACACAUACAUCUUAUUAAGAAACAUCAGCAGGGUUUAUUUGGCGAGUCUCAGUAGAGAAAUAGACAUCCCUACAUCACCCAAUGCGCAUGGCAAUAUCGCACUGAGUGCUUGCUUGCGCAAGCAAUCCAGCAUCAAGUGCGGCCUUUGACACUCCCGCUCGCUCACAUACGGUGUAUUAUCAGUACAGCACGGCAACACUCGCGCGAAUCAGUCCUGUCUCCUGCGGUAAACGCCGACUACCGUAGCACGCCCUGCUGUCGUGCUGACAAUGAGAAAUGUGCGGCGGCACAGCCCUGCUGGUUCACUUGAUAGUGGGCCCGAUCAGUAGCUAGUAGCGGCGAUUUGCCUAGCCGUCUAUACUUGCACGCAUACGCUGCGGGUGUGCCUCACAUACCAUAAUACCCAGUGCUGCUUCUUUCGCAUAUAACACACGCUCAGCAUGCCCUGCUGGCUCACUUCGAUACUGUACCAUCCACACACGUACGUGUGACGAGCCCCUGUUGCAAAAGGCCGCCGGCACCACAGCUGCGGCUGCUGCGGCUGCUGCUGCCGCUGCUACUGCUGCAUCUUCAAAUGGCGAAGGCAGCAAGCCGCUGGCUGCUGGGCUCAUGCAGCUGACGGCGUAACACGGAAUGAAGCCAAACGGAACGGAGCGGCCCUUGCCGCUACCAGGCCGCCACCGCUGCCGGUGGCGGGAAGCAGCCGCACGCGCGCUCCAACGCGGCAAACUCCUCCAGCUCCCGCUCCUGCUCGGCCCACGCCGCCGCCGCCAGCUCGAUCGCCAGGCGCAGGCGCGAGGGCAUCACAGCUGACUGCCACUCAUCACCCUGCUGCACUGCCGCAAUUGGCGGAACGACACAGCUGCCCAUGCUGCUGCCGGCGGCGGUGCAGGCCUCCUUGUCAAUGCUCUGCCGCUCCGCUGCCACCUCCACCGCCUCCACCUGCUGCGGCGUCUCACUGCCUGCCGCCGCCGCCACCCAGACCAGACUGCAGCUGCUGGCGCUGCGGCUGGUGCGGGCGCUGUCCGGCACGGCGCAGCAGCACGAGCUGAGCGGCGAGUCAGGCGCGUCCGGCCGCUCAGUGACAACGGCCACCUCCUGCUCCGCUUCGGCCGCCGCCGGCACGCACUCGCCCUGGGCCUCUGCUUUCCCCAUCGCCGCCAGCUCCGCCGCCAUCCAGGGCGACAGCGAGGCGAGGUAGGCGCCGAAAUCGUCGGCCUCCUCCUCCUCGACGUCAUCCGCCCAGCGGCGGCCGCUGGGGGUGCCGCCGGUGCCGCUGGCAGAUCCCGCCGCCGCCUGCUCCGCCAGGCCCUCCUUCAACCAAUCUGCAAGCGACCCGAGGUCGAGCUCCUCCUCCUCCUCCGCCUCCUCGUGCGCCUCGACUUCAUCCGCCCAGCUACCGCUCGCGCCACCGCUGCUGCUAAUGCUGGCGCGAGGAGCAAUGCUGCUGCUGCUACUGCUGCUGCUGCUGCCGUCAGACUCUGACGCUGCCGCGGGCGCGGCCGGUGCGGCUUCCGCCUGCUGCUGCUCGGCCGCCGCGAGCUCCGCCAGUCCCUGCUUCACCCAGGGCGUCUGCUCAAAGAGGUCGCUCAGGUCGAGUCCGUCAGCCUCAUCCUCAUCAUCAUCGCCCCAUCGCGGCGUGGUCGAGCUGCGGUCGACGGUGGAGGUGGAGAUGGGGCUGGCAGCGGCGGCGGGCUUGGUCGGGGCGGCGGGCUUGGUCGGAGCCGCGAGCUUGGGCACCUUGGGCAGGCCGGGCGGCUUCUGCGGGCGCCAGUGGUUGUCGUAGGCAUGGCAAAGCUGGCAGGGGGCGCUCCUGCAGCCAGCAGAUAGGCUGGCAUAGCACCAGCGGAUGCAGAACUUGUGGGGAAAGCAGCAGGCGCUGGGGCCGGGCUCCUGCUGCUCCUGCUGGUGGGCGGCGGCGGAGGGCUCGCUCUCAUCAGAGCCAUGGCCUUGGCUGCGGGGCGUGUGGCGCCAGGCGUCCUGUGCAAACGAGAUCGGGGGAAAGGAUAGAUGGGGGCGGACAAGCCGUGAGUGCACGGGACGAGGACAAGGGUCGGGGCGCAGAGGGCGGGACAAAGGGCCGGGGGUCGGGGGCUCGAGCCCCGGCAAAAAAGUCAGGCGCACCGGAAAGGCACGCGCUUUCGGUCAAAGCUGUUGACCGACGCAUUUUACGAGACAAUACAUGCAGCAAUAUGCAGCCAGUGUGGCCGCAGCAGCGCAAGAAGGAAGGCUGAGGAAGCAGAGCGCACUACUGACCCGAAAUCUGCAACGCUAUAUAGCCCGCAUCCGAAGCCUAAUGCUUUGCAUGUGGCAUCAGAUACCCAUUGCAGCUGCUCAAGGCUCAAAAUGGCCGUGCCCGAACAUGAAUGGUGCUCACCUGCAUCGGUCGGCUCGGCUCGAAGUCAAGCCCCGGUGCACUUGCAAUUGACCGUGAUGUGGCCAUAGUAGCUCUUGACCGCACCAAGCACUCUUCGCGCGCAGAACUCGAUUCUGCUGCUAGCGCAAUUCUUUCGCUUGAUGGAGUUUCCUCGCGGUGCCCGGGAGGGAUUCGCGCUAGAAGCUGCUAGUUCGUGAUAGUGGUGGUGCUUGCCGCAGCGUUCAUGCGCAUGCGGUGGAAAUCGAGAGAGGUCGCGAACAGCCCUAGAAAUGCUCUUCUUUGCCGUCGAUAAGCUCAGGUGCUCGUAGCUAAGCAGUGGGCGUAAAAGCUGUUUGCGGGAUGUCUUUGCAUCUGUUGAUUGUGCAAUAUGAGCACAGCGCGAGAAGCUUUUAUCCGGUGGCGGGGACAGGGUCUCGGGCGCCCAUGCAGGCGACACGCGCCUAAUCCCGAGCCUCCCUCCUCGCCUUUACCUUGUCCCUGGACCCGCGCCAUCCGUGCCCCGCUGUUCACUUCCCUCGUUUCAUACCAGUUCCCCUCCCCUGCGUAGGCCGGUAACCCCUGAUCCCGCCGCUGCCAGGGAUGCAGCUGUGCAGGAUGAGGUUGACGGCUGUGGAUUGCAUUGGUUACAAGAGGGACCUGCUGACGCAGUUCACGAGCCAGUGACGUGUGGAAGUUGGUGUAGGUUGGCGGUGAUCCAGCGGGGUGGGUGCCGAUGUGCUAUAGUGGGCGCGAGGCUGUACACGUCAGGACCUGGCGAGUGUACUGCUAAAGCUGACUUUGUGAUGGCCCCCAAGCGUAGGUGAGGUAGGCGCACGGUGGUGACAAGGCAUGCGGCCAGUGGAACUGCCUUACAGUUACAGCCCGCCCAAGCGCGGUUGUUGCCCUGCCAUGAUUUCCGUGGAGUCUCUAGCUCCGGCAGGGACGGUCCCCAUCAGUUCCCGUAGUGGACCAUGCAUCCAGCCGCCCACACGUGCUCUCCGUUCGUCACAUACAGUACUCGAACUCCAAUGUCCACAGAGCGUGUGCGCGAAGUCCACACGCCACACACGCAAGUGGCAGCCGCCCGUCCUUGCACAGCAAGCAUCUCCGCGCACGGUCGCACGCUUCACUAGCCCCAACGAACCGCCUACCACAAAUCAAGUCACACCCACCUCAGCAUUAGGAGUGCACAUCCGCCUGUCGAAUGUCGGAUGAUGAUAGGGCAACAAGUAGGUCUAGAGAAAUGAAAGCUAGUAGGUCUACUGCACCCAUGCAUGGAUGGAAAGAAUCAAUGGACCUUUGGAUAUAGGAUCCGGCCUUCUCAAGGGUCCUCGCGCAUUUACUAAAGAGCCAAGGGGUCUAGUAUGUAAGAAGCAAUGCCAGUCUCAAGUCAAGCACACUGCUGCCGCUUCCUGGCAUCUGGAAUGCCGGAAGGGUCGGAGGAACUUGCACCCACAGAACGUACACGUCGUGUCACUGACAGCCCACUCGAGUCUUGUAAACAGUAGAAAUCGUGCCCGCUCCUGCAGCGAGCCAAGAUACGGUAACCUCGAUACUUCUUUGUGUCUCACCGCGGUACGCGCACAGACAUUAAUCUGCGGGCUCCCUCUCCGCACUCCUUCUGUCACUCCCGUGCGUCAGGUCUUCUCCGACGUCGCCUCCACUCCAUCUCCUACGUCCCAUGACUCACCUGUAGCCCCAGGCAGCCCUGCGUCCAUUGGCACAGCGCCCCUCGCCACCUGCCACCCUCUCGCUCAGCAAAUAAACGCACGCGCGAUAGCAAAACACCAGCAGUCCGUAGUAUGGCCAAGGGGGGCUGCCGGUUCCCCGGUCCCAUACAGUCACACAUACAUCUUAUUAAGAAAAAUCAGCAAGGUUUAUUUGGCGAGUCUCAGUAGAGAAAUAGACAUCCAUACAUCACCCAAUGCGCAUGGCAAUAUCGCACAGAGUGCUUGCUUGCGCAAGCAAUCCAGCAUCAAGUACGGCCUUUGACACUCCCGCUCGCUCACAUACGGUGUAAUAUCAGUACAGCACGGCAACACUCGCGCGAAUCAGUCCUGUGUCCUGCGGUAAACGCCGACUACCGUAGCACGCCCUGCUGUCGUGCUGACAAUGAGAAAUGUGCGGCGGCACAGCCCUGCUGGUUCACUUGAUAGUGAAUGGGCCCGAUCAGUAGCUAGUAGCGGCGAUUUGCCUAGCUGUCUAUACUUGCACGCAUACGCUGCGGGUGUGCCUCACAUACCAUAAUACCCAGUGCUGCUUCUUUCGCAUUUAACACACGCUCAGCAUGCCCUGCUGGCUCACUUCGAUACUGUGCCAUCCACACACGUACGUGUGACGAGCCCCUCUUGCGAACGGCCGUCGGCACCACAGCUGCGGCGGCUGCGGCUGCGGCUGCUGCUGCUCCUGCUGCUGCUACUGCUACUGCUGCAUCUUCAAGUGGCGAAGGCAGCAAGCCGCUGGCUGCUGGGCUCAUGCAGCUGACGGCGUAACACGGAAGCCAAACGGAACGGAGCGGCCCUUGCCGCUACCAGGCCGCCACCGCUGCCGGUGGCGGGAAGCAGCCGCACGCGCGCUCCAACGCGGCAAACUCCUCCAGCUCCCGCUCCUGCUCGGCCCACGCCGCCGCCGCCAGCUCGAUCGCCAGGCGCAGGCGCGAGGGCAUCACAGCUGACUGCCACUCAUCACCCUGCUGCACUGCCGCGAUUGGCGGAACGACACAGCUGCCCAUGCUGCUGCCGGCGGCGGUGCAGGCCUCCUUGUCAAUGCUCUGCCGCUCCGCUGCCACCUCCACCGCCUCCACCUGCUGCGGCGUCUCACUGCCUGCCGCCGCCGCCACCCAGACCAGACUGCAGCUGCUGGCGCUGCGGCUGGUGCGGGCGCUGUCCGGCACGGCGCAGCAGCACGAGCUGAGCGGCGAGUCAGGCGCGUCCGGCCGCUCAGUGACAACGGCCACCUCCUGCUCCGCUUCGGCCGCCGCCGGCACGCACUCGCCCUGGGCCUCUGCUUUCCCCAUCGCCGCCAGCUCCGCCGCCAUCCAGGGCGACAGCGAGGCGAGGUAGGCGCCGAAAUCGUCGGCCUCCUCCUCCUCGACGUCAUCCGCCCAGCGGCGGCCGCUGGGGGUGCCGCCGGUGCCGCUGGCAGAUCCCGCCGCCGCCUGCUCCGCCAGACCCUCCUUCAACCAAUCUGCAAGCGACCCGAGGUCGAGCUCCUCCUCCUCCUCCGCCUCCUCGUGCGCCUCGACUUCAUCCGCCCAGCUACCGCUCGCGCCACCGCUGCUGCUAAUGCUGGCGCGAGGAGCAAUGCUGCUGCUGCUACUGCUGCUGCUGCUGCCGUCAGACUCUGACGCUGCCGCGGGCGCGGCCGGUGCGGCUUCCGCCUGCUGCUGCUCGGCCGCCGCGAGCUCCGCCAGUCCCUGCUUCACCCAGGGCGUCUGCUCAAAGAGGUCGCUCAGGUCGAGUCCGUCAGCCUCAUCCUCAUCAUCAUCGCCCCAUCGCGGCGUGGUCGAGCUGCGGUCGACGGUGGAGGUGGAGAUGGGGCUGGCAGCGGCGGCGGGCUUGGUCGGGGCGGCGGGCUUGGUCGGAGCCGCGAGCUUGGGCACCUUGGGCAGGCCGGGCGGCUUCUGCAGGCGCCAGUGGUUGUCGUAGGCAUGGCAAAGCUGGCAGGGGGCGCUCCUGCAGCCAGCAGAUAGGCUGGCAUAGCACCAGCGGAUGCAGGACUUGUGGGGAAAGCAGCAGGCGCUGGGGCCGGGCUCCUGCUGCUCCUGCUGGUGGGCGGCGGCGGAGGGCUCGCUCUCAUCAGAGCCAUGGCCUUGGCUGCGGGGCGUGUGGCGCCAGGCGUCCUGUGCAAACGAGAUCGGGGGAAAGGAUAGAUGGGGGCGGACAAGCCGUGAGUGCACGGGACGAGGACAAGGGUCGGGGCGCAGAGGGCGGGAGCAAGGGCCGGGGGUCAGGGGCUCGAGCCCCGGCAAAAAAAUCAGGCACACACCGGAAAGGCACGCGCUUUCGGUCAAAGCUGUUGACCGACGCAUUUUACGAGACAAUACAUGCAGCAAUAUGCAGCCAGUGUGGCCGCAGCAGCGCAAGAAGGAAGGCCGAGGAAGCCGAGCGCACUACUGGCCCGAAAUCUGCAACGCUAUAUAGCCCGCAUCCGAAGCCUAAUGCUUUGCAUGUGGCAUCAGAUACCCAUUGCAGCUGCUCAAGGCUCAAAAUGGCCGUGCCCGAACAUGAAUGGUGCUCACCUGCAUCGGUCGGCUCGGCUCGAAGUCAAGCCCCGGUGCACUUGCAAUUGACCGUGAUGUGGCCAUAGUAGCUCUUGACCGCACCAAGCACUCUUCGCGCGCAGAACUCGAUUCUGCUGCUAGCGCAAUUCUUUCGCUUGAUGGAGUUUCCUCGCGGUGCCCGGGAGGGAUUCGCGCUAGAAGCUGCUAGUUCGUGAUAGUGGUGGUGCUUGCCGCAGCGUUCAUGCGCAUGCGGUGGAAAUCGAGAGAGGUCGCGAACAGCCCUAGAAAUGCUCUUCUUUGCCGUCGAUAAGCUCAGGUGCUCGUAGCUAAGCAGUGGGCGUAAAAGCUGUUUGCGAGAUGUCUUUGCAUCUGUUG